GAUGAACGCUGGCGGCGUGCCUAAUACAUGCAAGUCGAGCGAACAGACGAGAAGCUUGCUUCUCUGAUGUUAGCGGCGGACGGGUGAGUAACACGUGGAUAACCUACCUAUAAGACUGGGAUAACUUCGGGAAACCGGAGCUAAUACCGGAUAAUAUUUUGAACCGCAUGGUUCAAAAGUGAAAGACGGUCUUGCUGUCACUUAUAGAUGGAUCCGCGCUGCAUUAGCUAGUUGGUAAGGCAACGGCUUACCAAGGCAACGAUGCAUAGCCGACCUGAGAGGGUGAUCGGCCACACUGGAACUGAGACACGGUCCAGACUCCUACGGGAGGCAGCAGUAGGGAAUCUUCCGCAAUGGGCGAAAGCCUGACGGAGCAACGCCGCGUGAGUGAUGAAGGUCUUCGGAUCGUAAAACUCUGUUAUUAGGGAAGAACAUAUGUGUAAGUAACUGUGCACAUCUUGACGGUACCUAAUCAGAAAGCCACGGCUAACUACGUGCCAGCAGCCGCGGUAAUACGUAGGUGGCAAGCGUUAUCCGGAAUUAUUGGGCGCAAAGCGCGCGUAGGCGGUUUUUUAAGUCUGAUGUGAAAGCCCACGGCUCAACCGUGGAGGGUCAUUGGAAACUGGAAAACUUGAGUGCAGAAGAGGAAAGUGGAAUUCCAUGUGUAGCGGUGAAAUGCGCAGAGAUAUGGAGGAACACCAGUGGCGAAGGCGACUUUCUGGUCUGUAACUGACGCUGAUGUGCGAAAGCGUGGGGAUCAAACAGGAUUAGAUACCCUGGUAGUCCACGCCGUAAACGAUGAGUGCUAAGUGUUAGGGGGUUUCCGCCCCUUAGUGCUGCAGCUAACGCAUUAAGCACUCCGCCUGGGGAGUACGACCGCAAGGUUGAAACUCAAAGGAAUUGACGGGGACCCGCACAAGCGGUGGAGCAUGUGGUUUAAUUCGAAGCAACGCGAAGAACCUUACCAAAUCUUGACAUCCUUUGACAACUCUAGAGAUAGAGCCUUCCCCUUCGGGGGACAAAGUGACAGGUGGUGCAUGGUUGUCGUCAGCUCGUGUCGUGAGAUGCUGGGUUAAGUCCCGCAACGAGCGCAACCCUUAAGCUUAGUUGCCAUCAUUAAGUUGGGCACUCUAAGUUGACUGCCGGUGACAAACCGGAGGAAGGUGGGGAUGACGUCAAAUCAUCAUGCCCCUUAUGAUUUGGGCUACACACGUGCUACAAUGGACAAUACAAAGGGCAGCGAAACCGCGAGGUCAAGCAAAUCCCAUAAAGUUGUUCUCAGUUCGGAUUGUAGUCUGCAACUCGACUACAUGAAGCUGGAAUCGCUAGUAAUCGUAGAUCAGCAUGCUACGGUGAAUACGUUCCCGGGUCU
rnacentral:rRNA from 1 species